AUUGAACGCUGGCGGCAGGCUUAACACAUGCAAGUCGAGCGGGGUGAUGGUGCUUGCACUAUCACUUAGCGGCAGACGGGUGAGUAAUGCUUAGGAAUCUGCCUAUUAGUGGGGGACAACAUCUCGAAAGGGAUGCUAAUACCGCAUACGUCCUACGGGAGAAAGCAGGGGAUCACUUGUGACCUUGCGCUAAUAGAUGAGCCUAAGUCGGAUUAGCUAGUUGGUGGGGUAAAGGCCUACCAAGGCGACGAUCUGUAGCGGGUCUGAGAGGAUGAUCCGCCACACUGGGACUGAGACACGGCCCAGACUCCUACGGGAGGCAGCAGUGGGGAAUAUUGGACAAUGGGGGAACCCUGAUCCAGCCAUGCCGCGUGUGUGAAGAAGGCCUUAUGGUUGUAAAGCACUUUAAGCGAGGAGGAGGCCCUUUUGGUUAAUACCCAAGAUGAGUGGACGUUACUCGCAGAAUAAGCACCGGCUAACUCUGUGCCAGCCGCCGCCGUAA
rnacentral:rRNA from 1 species